CACGGGUGAGUAACGCGUAGAUAACCUAGUCUUCAUGUCUGGAAUAAUAGCCAAAGGGGUACUAAUACCGGAUAUCUUGCUUUUCAUAAGUAUGCAAGCAAAGGUGGCCUCUGCAUAUGCUACUGCAUGAAGAGGGGUCUGCGUACCAUUAGCUAGUAGGUGGGGUAAUGGCCUACCUAGGCGACGAUGGUUAGCGGGUCUGAGAGGAUGAUCCGCCACACUGGCACUGGAACACGGGCCAGACUCCUACGGGAGGCAGCAGUGAGGAAUAUUGCGCAAUGGGGGAAACCCUGACGCAGCGACGCCGCGUGAGUGAGGAAAAGGCCUUCGGGUCGUAAAGCUCUGUCAAGAGGAAAGAAGUGUACAAUGGCUAAUACCUGUUGUAUUUGACGGUACCUCUAAAGGAAGCACCGGCUAACUCCGUGCCAGCAGCUGC
rnacentral:rRNA from 1 species